rnacentral:rRNA from 1 species
GUGCAGCAGGCGCGAAAACUCCGCAAUACGCGAAAGCGCGACGGGGCUACCCCGAGUGUCGUCCGCUGAGGACGACUUUUCCACGCUGUAAGGAGGCGUGGGAAUAAGGAGAGGGCAAGUCUGGUGUCAGCCGCCGCGGUAAUACCAGCUCUCCGAGUGGUAGGGACGAUUAUUGGGCUUAAAGCGUCCGUAGCCGGCUCAGCAAGUCUCCCGUUAAACCCAACGAUUCAAUCGUUGGACUGCGGGAGAUACUGUUGAGUUAGGAGGCGGGAGAGGCCGACGGUAUUCCCGGAGUAGGGGUAAAAUCCUAUAAUCCCGGGAAGACCACCAGUGGCGUAGGCGGUCGGCUAGCACGCGCUCGACAGUGAGGGACGAAAGCGGGGGUAGCGAACCGGAUUAGAUACCCGCGUAGUCC